rnacentral:lncRNA from 1 species
AAUGUUCUUCACUACAGGAAAACUCAACAUAGAAGCUCAUGUUCUGGGGACUCAAAUAACAGUCGUAAUACAUGAAAACUGUAAAGGAUAUUCUGCAUAAAGGGUCGUUAACAUCUCACAGGCCAAAUAGCCCUCUCAGAAACAACUAGGAAAGGAAAAAGUUCCCUUGGAGCUGUGCGUUUGCGUAUGUCCGUGUGUGUAUACAACUGAGGGAGAACGAAUACGAGAGAGGGAACUCGAGUCUGAAGUACUGUGGUGUGGGCAGGGUGACAUGUAAUACUGAAGGAAAGAAGUCUGCUGGUGAAGUAAGA